AUGCGUAGUAUCAAAUUCCAAUGGCGCACCAUCAUUACUUGUUGUACCGUCACUGAGGGCUGGAGAAUGUUUUUUGGGGCUAUGUUUCGCAUCUUCUGACGCAUCGUCCUCUUCGUUACCUUUAAUUGGAGCUAAAGUUGGAAGGGAAAAUAUUUUUGUCAGUUCCUCGGCUUUAUCUGGAAACAUAACUCGCUUUGUUUGACGAGAUCGAAUCUCAGCUUGGCUCAGCGCCAUCGGGGGAGAGGGAGAACCGGAGGAGCUAUCGACUGCCUCACUAGACAAAACGCUUUGAAGAUUGCGAUUCAAUUUUUCAGAACUCCUUAAUUUUUCAUUCGAUAAAAAGCUAUCAUCACUGGGACGCUGACUUAGGUCGGGUGUGUUAACUUGGGAGGACCGAUCUUUCCUUUGUGCCAAUUCACGUUCCGCCUUCUUUUUAAACGCUCUCUUUUUCAACAUCUCCAGCAAGUCAUCACGAAUAGUGGCCCUAAUUUCCUCUUGAGCUCCUUCAAUUUCCAGAUCAUUCAUCCUUUCCAAACGAACGCGAUUUUCCUCAUCAAUACCUUGAUCAUCCAAAUUCCCUUUUCCUUCCAAACCCGGAGAUUCCUUAUUCUUUCGAAGCAUCUUCUCCUUAUAAGCACUCAUUGAUUUCGAUUCUCGUUUCGGCAAUGUUCGUGAAACGGCUGGAAAUCCCCUAGCAUGCCGCUGAACUGACCUCUUCACUUCAACAAGUUGCUUCGGCGGUUUUUCAACAAUAUCAC